rnacentral:rRNA from 1 species
UCUUGAUUAUAAACUAAAAAAAAUUUACCAGAGUAGUAUGAAUAAAUAAAAUUUAAAACUCAAAGGGCUUGGCGGUGUCUUAGACCACUUAGGGGAACCUGUCUCAUAAUCGACAAUCCACGUUAAACCUAACCUUUUUUUGUUUUCAGCUUGUAUACCGUUGUCGUCAGGUAACUUUUUAGAAAUUAUAAGUUAGCUAUAAAUUAUAUUAAUUAUAACGUCAAAUCAAGGUGCAGCUUAUAAAAAGGAGAGGAUGGGUUACAAUUAUAAAUUUUAAUUACGGAGAAUUUUUUAAAAAUAAAAAUUUGAAGGAGGACUUAAAAGUAAAUUAGAUUAUAAAAAUAUUUUGAAUAAGGCUCUGAGACGUGC